GAUGAAGAACGUAGUGAAUGCGAUAAGUAAUGUGAAUUGCAGAAUUCAGUGAAUCAUCGAAUCUUUGAACGCACAUUGCGCCCGCCAGUAUUCUGGCGGGCAUGCCUGUCUGAGCGUCAUUUCAACCCUCAUGCCCCUAGGGCGUGGUGUUGGGGAUCGGCCAAAGCCCGCGAGGGACGGCCGGCCCCUAAAUCUAGUGGCGGACCCGUCGUGGCCUCCUCUGCGAAGUAGUGAUAUUCCGCAUCGGAGAGCGACGAGCCCCUGCCGUUAAACCCCCAACUUUCCAAGGUUGACCUCAGAUCAGGUAGGAAUACCCGCUGAACUUAAGCAUAUCAAUAAGCGGAGGA
rnacentral:misc_RNA from 1 species